rnacentral:tRNA from 1 species
GCCCUGGUAGCUUGAUGGUUAAGCAUUCAGCUGCUAAUAGAAAGGCUGGUGGUUCGAACCCACCCAGAGGCU